rnacentral:rRNA from 1 species
UACGUAAGGUGCAAGCGUUAAUCGGAAUUACUGGGCGUAAAGCGUGCGCAGGCGGUUUUGUAAGUCUGUCGUGAAAUCCCCGGGCUCAACCUGGGAAUGGCGAUGGAGACUGCAAGGCUAGAAUCUGGCAGAGGGGGGUAGAAUUCCACGUGUAGCAGUGAAAUGCGUAGAGAUGUGGAGGAACACCGAUGGCGAAGGCAGCCCCCUGGGUCAAGAUUGACGCUCAUGCACGAAAGCGUGGGGAGCAAACAGG